rnacentral:lncRNA from 1 species
GGUGGUACCUAACACUACAGGGAGAUAACUCUGUAAAAUCACCUAAACGUUUUAAUGACAUUGUGCUGUUAAAGGAAUAUUAAGCUUCUCAAUGAUCAAAAUUAGUGUUUGUCAAACUGCUAUAUAACCAGUGUAAUUUUUCUGAUAAAACGCUUGGUUCAAAUUUUUUAAAUUUUUUAUAUUUUUGUAAAAUGGUCCAAAGUAAAUACUUUGUCAAAAUUUUAUGAAAAUUAAACGAGCC